rnacentral:rRNA from 1 species
CACCAGCCCCUCGAGUGGUGGGGAUGAUUAUUUGGCCUAAAGCGUCCGUAGCCGGCCGGGUAAGUUUCCCGUUAAAUCCAGCGUCUCAAGCGUUGGACUGCGGGAAAUACUGCCUGGCUAGAGAGUGGGAGAGGUCAGCGGUAUUCUGGGGGUAGGGGCGAAAUCCUUUGAUCCCCGGAGGACCACCAGUGGCGAAGGCUGCUGACUAGAACACGUCUGACGGUCAGGGACGAAAGCUGGGGUAGCGAACCGGAUUAGAUACCCGGGUAGUCCCAGCCGUAAACGAUGCAUGCUAGGUGUUGGGUUGGCCACGAGCCACCCCAGUGCCGCAGGGAAACCGUUAAGCAAUGCCGCCUGGGAAGUACGAUCGCAAGAUUGAAACUUAAAGGAAUUGGCGGGGGAGCACCACCAGGCGUGAAGCCUGCGGUUU